rnacentral:rRNA from 1 species
UCUUUCUUUGCUGGCGACCGGCGCACGGGUGAGUAACACGUAUCCAACCUGCCCUUUACUCGGGGAUAGCCUUUCGAAAGAAAGAUUAAUACCCGAUAGCAUAAUGAUUCCGCAUGGUUUCAUUAUUAAAGGAUUCCGGUAAAGGAUGGGGAUGCGUUCCAUUAGGCAGUUGGUGGGGUAACGGCCCACCAAACCUUCGAUGGAUAGGGGUUCUGAGAGGAAGGUCCCCCACAUUGGAACUGAGACACGGUCCAA